rnacentral:rRNA from 1 species
UACGUAGGGGGCGAGCGUUGUCCGGAUUCAUUGGGCGUAAAGCGCUUUAAGGCGGUUCGGUAAGUCGGGUGUGAAACCUCCAGGCUCAACCUGGAGACGCCACUCGAUACUGCUGUGACUAGAGUUCGGUAGGGGAUCACGGAAUUCCUGGUGUAGCGGUGAAAUGCGCAGAUAUCAGGAGGAACACCGGUGGCGAAGGCAGAUCUCUGGGCCGUAACUGACGCUGAGGAGCGAAAGCGUGGGGAGCAAACAGG